UCCCCGGUGGUCCAGUGGCUAAGACUCUGCUCCCAAUGCAGAGGGCCUGGGUUCGAUCCCUAGUCGGGGAA
rfam:TPA: Bos taurus chromosome 5, whole genome shotgun sequence.